rnacentral:tRNA from 1 species
GCCGGAGUGGCGGAACAGGCAGACGCGCACGACUCAAAAUCGUGUACCGAAAGGUAUGUGGGUUCGAUUCCCACCUUCGGCA